rnacentral:misc_RNA from 1 species
AGAGAGAGAGAGAGAGAGGAAACCAAAUUACUCUUUGGUGCAGUGUCACUUAUUUCUAUUGCAGGCUUUUUAGGGCCCAUCUCUUCCCUUUCUCUGUCCUCCUCGCCACCUUUCGUCAUCUGCUUCAAUCAUCAUAAUUAAAAUAUCUGGAUUCUCUGUUCAACAUUCUGUUCAUGGCAGGUCUUCUGAGCACCAAUUUUCAGAGAAAAGUCCUUUCCUUUGCUCUUUUAGCUAUUUUAAGACGACAAGCUAAUGGGAUG